UACGUAGGGGGCAAGCGUUGUCCGGAUUUAUUGGGCGUAAAGAGCGUGUAGGCGGCCAUACAGGUCAGCUGUGAAAACUCGAGGCUCAACCUCGAGACGUCGGUUGAAACCGUAUGGCUAGAGUCCGGAAGAGGCGAGUGGAAUUCCUGGUGUAGCGGUGAAAUGCGCAGAUAUCAGGAGGAACACCAAUGGCGAAGGCAGCUCGCUGGGACGUGACUGACGCUGAGACGCGAAAGCGUGGGGAGCAAACAGG
rnacentral:rRNA from 1 species